rnacentral:rRNA from 1 species
UACGUAGGGUGCGAGCGUUAAUCGGAAUUACUGGGCGUAAAGGGCUCGUAGGCGGCCAACUAAGUCGGACGUGAAAUCCCUCGGCUUAACCGGGGAACUGCAUCCGAUACUGGAAGGCUCGAGUUUGGCAGAGGGGGGUGGAAUUCCGACGUGAUAGCAGUGAAAUGACGUAGAUAUGUGGAGGAACGACCGAUGGCGAAGGCAGCCCCCUGGGUUA